UACGAAGGGGGGCUAGCGUUGCUCGGAAUCACUGGGCGUAAAGCGCACGUAGGCGGCUUUUUUAAGUCAGGGGUGAAAUCCUGGAGCUCAACUCCAGAACUGCCUUUGAUACUGGGAAGCUCGAGUCCGGGAGAGGUGAGUGGAACUCCGAGUGUAGAGGUGAAAUUCGUAGAUAUUCGGAAGAACACCAGUGGCGAAGGCGGCUCACUGGACUGGUACUGACGCUGAUGCGCGAAAGCGUGGGGAGCAAACAGGG
rnacentral:rRNA from 1 species